rnacentral:lncRNA from 1 species
CUGCUGAAGGAGAGUGCAUAAGUAAAUUGCUAUACUAAUAAAUCCCUCAUAAGCACGAUGUCAAAAUAUUGUACUUAUAUUCUAUCAUAAGGGAAAAGUAACCAAUGACAAUAGUUUACUGAUACAACCCUUUAUUCAAACAUGAUGUAUAAGCUCUAUCGUGGCAACCAAGUAUACUAUGAUGAAAUAGGUAACUGUCAAGUGUACUACAUGUCUCAACUCUAUGCUAUAUGCAUGUAAAUGUACUCCAACUACUAAGCCUAACUAGUAGGGAGUGUUCAUUCUCAAACUGUGUCGAUUUCCAUUUCCAAUUAGGGACCUACCCAAGGUAGUCCAGCUUGUGCCGCCUAAGUGCCUGUGGUAGCCCGACAUUCCUACUCAUGGAAUGUGUCUGUCCCACUCGACCCCGUAGGCUUCUCGAUACCGCACGAGCGAACAUAAGUCGCAUAGGCUAACUCCGGAGUGCCGGCUUGUAGGGAGCGACCCUCACAAGCAUGUGCGAAUGAGCACAAAUGGCAAGCAAGCAAAGUCCAAGUCUCAAAUAUCAAAUUCUCAUGUCUCUAACAUGGUAAGGUCACUAGCAUCCCGAAGAUCUAGUUUAAAUCACAAUGUGAAGUUUCAACAUUUGCUACGCCUAGUGCCCCUUAAUGACACUUAGGCAAUUUGGUGUCCAACAUGUAUCCCAAGUCCCUCGAUGGCCCUAUCCACUAGGUUCACACAUGUCCCGAGCUCAAUGCCGCUUGAUGACAUUAGCUCUCUAAUUCACAUACCUUCUAAAUGACAAUCUUGUCAAUUUUCAUGUCACAAGUAAAUGUAGGUUUACAUGCAUGAAUCCGAACUCAUUUAUACUAUAGAAGCAUGAUACCACGUCUCAUAUAGAAUGCUAAAUGCAACUAUGGCCUAAUAAGCUACUCUCUACUACAUAGAGGUCCAAAAUUUCAUUAUAUAUAACAUAGGCCUUUUAAGCAUUCUAAAAUUCACAAUAAAUACAUAUAACAAGAAUAUGCAUGCUUUUUCAUUUAACAACACUUAAUUAAGCACAAAUGAGAAUUUCUCAUUGUGUGGCUAGGUCAAACCCACCGAACCGUCGCGUAGGGUCUCGUUUCGCCGAACCAAGUUGUCCCCGAGUCUCAAAAUACCCUAAAAGUAAUCAGCGAAGAGAUACGAGGGCAUUACGACCAUCCUAUAAUAUCAAAUAUUAACCUAGAAGCAAAAAGGGCCAAAACUCACCUCAAGUGAAGAAAUCUCUUCCAAAGCUCCAAAAGAGAGCUAGAACCCUUCCAAUCCAAGCCCUAGGAAGGUUCUAAACCAAUCAAUUUAGCCCCAAAAGCCCUAGAUCAAAAAUGCCCAAAAUCAAGCCCUAAAUCUCAUUUCUAGGGUUUAAACAAGCAAAAAGCUCCAAAACUAAGAUCUAGAGGGAGGAACCUUGCCACAUACCUCUAGGAUGCUCCAAUCCAAGCUCAAAAUCUUCUAGGGUUGAAGAUUGAUCCACCACAAAGCUCCAAAAGCAAGCUCCAAGCCUCCAAAGGUGGGAAAUGAGGAAGAAGAUGGUGCUCCAAGCAAGCCCUUCUCCUCUUCUUCCUCUUCUUCUCCUUCUUCUCCUUCUCCCUCUCUUCUUCUCUCUCUAGAAUGCAAAGGGUUAAGAGAAAAUGAGAGUGAGAGGGGAGGAGAGGCUGCCUAUAGCCUCUAAGGUAACAAAAUCCAGUUAGGCCCCUCAAAAACCCAAAAUUACAUCAGCCCGGACUGGGCAGUUUUCGCCCAGAGGGACCGGUCUCUCCCCAGCAGGGACCGGUCUCUCGCUGCGAACCCGAAAAACCAGCAUUCGGGAACCGGUCUCUUCCCUGCGCGGGACCGGUCUCUCACUGCGAGAACGCGCUCGGGGACCGGUCUCGCCUGCCAGGGACCGGUUGCCUCAGGCUGCCUCAGCACUGUUCACUGGGGGAACCGGUCUCUCCUUCCAGGGACCGGUCUCCGAGAGUAAAAACUCUCAGGACUUGUCCAAAGUUCCCGAUUUCGAACUUUUCGGGUCGGGAAACAUUUUACAACCCUCCACCAAGUGUGGAAAAGCUCGAAAUACAUUCAAACACUCGAACCUCGCAAUUUGCAAAGGUCCAGUGUGUUACAUAUAUCUACAUGUUCACAAGUAAUAUCAUGAUUUACUUUAUACAAAUAUGAAAGUGGUACUUUGUCAUGACUACAAUGCAUAUAAGGAUGUAAUAAACAACAUCUCCUAGCAUACUACAUGUAUGUAUGAAUACCCAAAUGUCCACAACUAUGCUAGAGGUAAGUCCAUGUAAUCCUACUACCACUCUCUGUCUAGUAGUGAUCAUAAUAAACUCAACACCGUGUCGAUUUUCAUUUCCAAUUAAGGACCUACCAAAGGAAGUCCAGCUUGUGCCGCCUAAGUGCCUGUGGUAGCCCGACAUCCCUACUCUUGGAAUGUGUCUGUCCCACUCGACCCCGUAGGCUUCUCAAUACCGCANNNNNNNNNNNNNNNNNNNNNNNNNGAUGCUAACCAAAUCUCUAGUCAUGAUGUCACCAAGUUUACUAUUGUCUUGGUCCUUUACAGUUUCAUACAUUCAUAGGGUUCUAUGUCCACAUUCUAAUGUUCAUGUGUAAGAUCUGGUCCUCUUUUAGAGGAUUCAAUAACUGACAAUACUACAAUUUAACUUCUAACUAGCUCUUUAUGCUAGUUUCACAAUUUCACUGUUUAUCUCACAAUGCUAUCCAAUUCUCAAGUAGAAUGUCACCAAGUUCACUAUUGUCAAAGUCCAUGCAUUCAUAGGGUUCUAUGUCCACAAUCUAGGUUCACAAAUUCUUAUUGUUGAUAGGAAUUCACAUUUUCACUCGCUCAAUGCCAAACACCCUAUAAUGCAUGACUACAAAUAUAAAUAUGCUCAACGGAGAAUUAUAGACAUAAAAGGUGAUUCAAAGAGUUCGGAUAGCACCACCCACCUGUAGUGGUGUCAAUCAACUAGAAUCCACGUCUCAGAAAGCGUCGACGACUAUCUCUCGCGACUCCGUGCAAAUAGGACUAAAGCGGUCUCUAUCGUAAUUAGCGUGUCGUCGACCUGUCGGAAAGUCAAUUUAGACUCUUGGGCAUGUUUCCAUUUCACUUAUAAAGGAUUAGAAAAGAUUAAACUAGAGUCAUUACACAUAAUUGACAAGUUAGCAUUUCAAUGCUAUAUAAAGCGGCAAUUAUAGCAAAAAACCUUCUUUUGGCGAUAUCUUUGCGUAGGUUCGUUGGAUUGCCGAACCGACUUCGCCAACGCGUUUCUUUUACCCUCAAUUUGGUUUACACGCGGUCAAUUUCGCAUUAGGACUCUUAUUUUGCAAAAGUGCAUUGUCGGGGUCAAUUUUCAAUACAAACCCAUUUCAAUGCAAUUUCACUUUCAAUGCAAUUGCAAUUUCACAAUUACAUCGAGUUCUUUCAACUCGUUCUUUCUCGUUUUCUUUCUCUCAUUUUUCCUCUCUUCUAUUUCUUUUUUCUUUCUUCCAUUCUUUUCCUCAUUCUUUCCUUUCUCUUUUCUUACUUUCUUUCUUUCUUUCUUUCUUUCAUUCUUUCUUUCCUUUCUUUCCUGCAGGUUUUUCUUGUCUUUCUUUAUUGCUUUCUUUCCUUCUUUUCUUCCUUUGCAGGACAGCUUCUACUGCUGUUACUGCUGCUGCUACUGAAGCUUCUGCUGCUGCUAAUAGCAGCUGCGCAAGCUGCUGCUGCUGACUGCUUGCCCUGCUGCUGCUGCUGCCUGCUUGCCCUGCUGCUGCUGACUGCUCAGCAGCAGGCUGAGCUGCUGUUGCUACUCAGCUCAGCAGGGCUGAGCUGCUGAUGCUGCUGCUGCUAUUAUUGCAGCUGCUGCUGAUGCUAACUGCUGGUGCCACUGCUGCUGCUGCUAGCUGCAGCUGCUGCUGCUGUUUGCUGCUGCUGCUGCUGAGCAAGCUGCUACUGCAGCUUGCUGCUGCUGCUAAUCCUGCUGCUGAUCCAGCAGCUGCUGCUGCUGGCUGCUCCAGCAGCAGCUGCUGAUGCUACUGCUGCUGCUGCUGUUCCUGCUCAACAGCUAGCUGAGCUGCUGCUGCUGUUGAUAGGGAAGAAGAGUGAGGGGGAAAAAGAUAGCAAGGAGAGAGGGAGAGAGAUUAAAUUUCUUACCUUUUUCUUCUUCCUUUUCUUCUCCUGCUACUCUUUUCUCUUCUUUUCUUCUUCUCUCUCUUUUCUCCUUCUCUCUCUCUCUACGUAUGGAACCAGGGUGAAGCAGAGGGGAUAAGAAUGAAGGCCUCCCUGCUGCCAGAUUAGUGGAAAUCCACUAACUUAGUGAUAAAUGACCAUAAUGCCCCUCGACUUAAGUUCGUUUAGUCGCACGGAUUAGAUACCUUUUGCAGGCUCUUCCGACAGUCCGAUUGAGCUCAAAUUUGGCAGGAAUGUUCGUUUUUACUUGACAAGUCCACUGAAAUUUUAACAUUUCAGUUUCGACCCCGUUUGGUCACUGCGAACUGUCCUGAACUGUAAUCUUUAUCAGAUAACUUCCAGAUGCUAUUUCUCUCUCUACAGGUGUCAGAAAAAUCUGAAACUUCAAAACUAGCCUUAUAAUAAUGUUCCUGACAUCUCUGCCAAUUUUUGUAAUUUUCUGACACUGUGCAUUUUCUGCUAAUUUUCUCAGUCCCGUUUCUUACAGAAAAUUCUAAAAUUUCCGUUUUCGCUCCGAUUUCACCCAAACACUUCUAAAAUACACCAAGGGACCUUCCCAAGCUACCAAUUUAAUUUGGAAGCAAUUUCUUUUCAUUUUGACAUUAUUUGAGCCGAAUUAGAAAUAGAAUCGGCUCUAAUUCCAUUACAUGACCUUUUUGCACUACCACUUCGCACUGAGCUCUUCAAAACCCUGUGAAAACACACCCUUGGCUUUACCAAAACUUCACAAUUGAUUCGGAGGUACCACAAUUUAUCCUUACACCUUACUUUAAUUCUUUUAAUCAAAGUUAGCGUCGGAAUUUCGAAAAUUCUCUUUACUCUCUUUACAUUUCGUUUCGCGCCCAAUUUGCGCCGAAACACUUAUUUCUCUUUGGAACUCAUUCCAACGCAUCACAAAUCCCUCGGGGAUGAUGUCCAACUAGCUCAAUCCUCACUUUGACCCUCUAGGUCAAAGUUGACAUUGCAGCUUCAGGAUGCCAUAUAUUACACACAAGCAUGUGCGAAUGAGCACAAAUGGCAAGCAAGCAUAGUCAACGUCUCAAAUACCCAAUCAUCAUGUCUCUAACAUGGCAAUAUUCACUAGCAUCUCGAAGAUCUAGUUCUAGGUCACAAUGUGAAAUUUUAAUAUUCACUAAGUCUAGUGCCCCUUUAUGACACUUAGACACUUCGAUGAACAAGCACACUCCAACUCUCUCAAUGGCACUAUCCACUAAAUUCACACAUAACCCNAACUCAUAAUGUCCAUACCGUGUUCUAAAAGCCGUCUUCGAUACAUCCUCAGGUCUGAUCCUCAACUGGUGAUAUCCCGACUGCAAGUCAAUCUUGGAAUAUACACAAGAUCCCUGGAGUUGAUCAAAUAGAUCAUCAAUCCUCGGCAAUGGAUACUUGUUCUUGAUCGUGACUUUGUUAAGUUCACGAUAAUCCACACACAAGCGAAGUGAUCCAUCCUUUUUCUUCACAAAUAGGACCGGUGCUCCCCAAGGUGACACACUCGGUCUCACGAAACCUUUAUCCAGAAGAUCCUGCAACUGUGCCUUCAAUUCCCUCAACUCUGCUUGUGCCAUCCUAUAGGGUGCCUUUGAGAUCGGAGUAGUCCCGGGAACGAGAUCUACCACAAACUCAAUCUCCCUAUCAGGUGGCAUGCCUGGAAGCUCCGCUGGGAACACGUCUCCAAACUCUCGCACUACGGGGAUAUCCUCAAUCCUAGGGGUGUCCGCAUCGCCACGCAACACGACAGUAGCCAAAUAAGCUACGCAGCCUCUACUAAUCAAUUGCCUAGCUCGAGAGAAGUUAAUCGUCAUCGCAAACAGCGAACUCUGGCAUCCUCGGUACACAACCUCCGCCUGCCCCGGCUCUCUAAACGUCACCGUUCGAUCCUUGCAAUCGAUAGUGGCGUAGUACUUAGUUAACCAGUCCAUGCCCAAUACUACAUCAAACUUCCCGAGUUUAUGCAACACUAACAAGUCUACGGGCAUGAUCCAAUCUCCAACCCGAAUAGGGCAACUGGGGCAAAACUCCCGAAUGUCCAAAGAAUGAUCGGGUACAACAACUCGGCCCGGAUGUAGCAAAGAUACAUGUGGGAUGUCAUGCAGCUCGGCAAACAGCCGAUCAAUGAAUGAAUGCGAUGCACCGGUAUCAAACAAAGCUCUAGCUCGAGUACCAUAAAGUAAAAUGAUACCUGCGACCACAUUCUCGGCUGCUGCAGCCUCCUCAGUCUGGGCCGCGUACAUGCGCCCGCUCGGGGCCUGUCGUGACCCCUCCGCCUGUCGCAGAACUGGCGGCCGUCCUGCCUGGUGAUGCGCAGAAGAUGUCCCCUGGCUGGGACCUGGCGAAGCUGGUGCAGAUGCCGAAGAUGGCGCUGGCAAUGGACUCCUCGGGCAGUCCGACUGGAAGUGGCCCUCCUGGCCAUACAAGAAGCACCUGCCCCGGCUGCGCGAACACUGUCGCGGGUAAUGAGGACCGCCACAGAUCACGCAGCGGGGGGCCUGACGACGAUCGGGUCCUCCUCGCUGAGUGGACUGGCCACGUCCUCGCGACUGGCUCCGGCUCCUGGGGUGCCUCGGCGGCCUCCGUGAGUGCGUCUGACUCGCACCCUCAGCCGCGGGCCUCUUGCCCUUCCCUUUCUCCAAGCUCUCGCGACGCUCCUGCAGAUCCGCCGCUCCGGCCUCCACUAUCAAAGCUCGAUCUACAACCUCCCGGUAGGUCUGGAGGUUGGAAGACUGCACCAACCGGAAAAUAGAAGGCCGCAAACCGCGCUCAAAGAUGCGGGCCUUGUCCUCGUCAUCCCGCACCACAAAAGGCACACAAUGGAGUAAUCGAGAAAACUCCCUCUCGUACUCGGCCACAGACCGCUCAUCCUGGCGCAAGCUGCGCAAGUCCUGCUCCAUCUUCCUCUUGACGCUGGUCGGGAAGUAGUGCGCCAGAAGAAGCUCCUUGAAUCGCGUCCAUGUGACCGCUGUCAAGUCGGUGCUGGGAUUGUCCUGGAUAUCCAACCACCAAUGGUAGGCCUCGCCGUCCAGAAAGUGAGUGGUGAGCCAAACCCUGUCCCUCUCCUCAACGAAGGUAUCUCGAAAUAGCUUCUCUAUAUGCAUCAACCACUUCUCAACAAUCCAGUGGUCGACGUUCUCGCCAUUAAACAUCCUCGGGCUGCACCUCCUGAACUCACUGAGGCGCUCCAUGAGCCGAUCCCGCUCGGCUCCCUCGGCCAUCACGGGGAAUGCCGCCCCCCUCGCCGGUCUCUUAACUGGGGGUACCGCAGCCACCUCUUCCCGAGGUGUGGUCGCCGGUGCCGCACGGGAAGAACUAGGCGCGGGGGACUGCGCCCUCGGUGCGACGUCCACCACGGGUGCUGGCGGUGUGGGACCCUGGGUCUCCCUCGAAGCUGCCGCUUGCUGAAGUAGGAGGUCCUCCAGAUGUUUCAUCGGCGCCUCCUGCCACUGAGCCACCUCAGCCUGUCGCUGCGCUGCUGCCGUCUGCUGCGCCAACAGAUCAGUGAAAACCGCAAGCUGGGCCCUCAAGUCACGGACCUCACUAGAUCUGGAAGUAGCGGAGGUCUCAACCUCCUCGGGAUGUGCCGCAUCAUCCGCCCCGGCAGACUGGGAGCGUGCAAUCGGCAUCGUCACUACAAAACAUAAAAGCGCAAGUUAAUAACCCACGCUAUCGCUUCCCCGCUCGAAAUAAUGAAACCCAAAAUCAUGCGAAAGUAAGGAAGUGUCCUUCACUACUAACUCCCGAUGUUACGUUGUCGGCCGCCAACAUAACCCUCCGCGAAGUUAGAAGCCAUACACUCCGAUCAAACUCUAAGUUUUUAGAGUUGUCAUAAACCCAACCAUAAUACUUUCGCUCACAAGUCAAUUAGACCUCGUCUCUCACGAGCCUAAUUCCUAUAGUCCAACCGGCCUAAGGUUCGCUAGGUUCACUAAGACUCAACCCUAGGCUCUGAUACCAAAUUAAUCUGUCACGCCUCGGGACCGACGGAGGCCCUCCCGGUGGCGUGCCCAGACCCGCCAUAUGUCUAUACAUAUAAGGCGUCUACAACAAAGCGGGAGUAAAAGCGAGAAAUAGAACGAAUAGAAUAAUAACAACUAACGAUAUCAGAGCGAGUAAGGUUCUAUCAUCUAAACCAGAGUAAAAGAAAUAUAACUAAACAAAGUAAGUAAAGCAUAAGGUGAUACAAUACUAACACCUCAAAGAAAUACCAAGAUCCAAAAGAAAGGUGGUCUCUAUACAUAUACGGGUACAACUCACAACCUCUCACAACAUAAAAACAUCGAGAGGUAGACCACCUAGCGACUCGUCACUCGCUGAAGAGCUAGCUCGAAGACACGCCCUUUCCUCGAUCCUUAGCCUCUCCCGGCGUGGAAGGCUCUGAAAGAAAACAUAAAACAGAGGGCGUUAGAACUAUAAUUUAUAGUUCCCAGUGGGCAAUUACUGACCUCAGCUCAAUGCACCACUAGGCCCCAAAAGAAAGGGUAAGUCUAACAAUAAUAGUAAAGAGUAAAUUGCAUAUAAGAAAGCAUAAUUAAGAUGCUAAGCUACGGCUUGCAAUUAAACAUGGCAUUUAUAAUGCGACUUUAUCUUGUCAUGGAUGAUAUAUAUCUACAUGUUCACAAGUAAUAUCAUGAUUUACUUUAUACAAAUAUGAAAGUGGUACUUUGUCAUGACUACAAUGCAUAUAAGGAUGCAAUAAACAACAUUUCCUAGCAUACCACAUGUAUGUAUGAGUACCCAAAUGUCCACAACUAUGCUAGAGGUAAGUCCAUGUAAUCCUACUACCACUCUCUGUCUAGUAGUGAUCAUAAUAAACUCAACACCGUGUCGAUUUUCAUUUCCAAUUAAGGACCUACCAAAGGUAGUCCAGCUUGUGCCGCCUAAGUGCCUGUGGUAGCCCGACAUCCCUACUCUUGGAAUGUGUCUGUCCCACUCGACCCCGUAGGCUUCUCAAUACCGCACGAGCGAACAUAAGUCGCGUAGGCUAACUCCGAAGUGCCGGCUUGUAGGGAGCGACCCUCACAAGCAUGUGCGAAUGAGCACAAAUGGCAAGCAAGCAUAGUCAACGUCUCAAAUACCCAAUCAUCAUGUCUCUAACAUGGCAAUAUUCACUAGCAUCUCGAAGAUCUAGUUCUAGCUCACAAUGUGAAAUUCUAAUAUUCACUAAGUCUAGUGCCUCUUUAUGACACUUAGACAUUUCGAUGAACAAGCACACUCCAACUCUCUCAAUGGCACUAUCCACUAAAUUCACACAUAACCCGAGCUCGAUGCCCCUUUAUGAUAUUAGCUCAAUUGUACACAAGUAGUGCAAAUCCCCGAGCCCUUUUAUGGCUCACUAGGAACUUUUAAAUCUUGAAUAGAAAUAACUUUAAAUGCAUGCAUGAGAUGUUCGUUUUUACCAUAGAAAUUAUGAUUCCAAGUCUCAAUAGGAUGCUAAACCUGUUCAAGUUCCACAUGCUAGCUCUCUACUACAUAGAGGUCCGAAAUUUUCACCACAUGUAACGUAGGCAAAUUAAGCCUUCUAAAAAUCAUAAUAAAUGUAUCUAGCAUGGAAAUACAUGAAUAAACAUUUAACAGUACUCAAAUCAACACCAAUGAGAUUUUCUCAUUGUGUGGCUAGGCCAAACCCACCGAACCGUAGCGUGCUCCUUCGAUUCGCCGAACGGAGUUGUCCACGAGUCUCAAAGUACCCUAAAAGUGAUCAGCGAAGAGAUACGAGGGCAUUACGACCAACCAUAAGAUCAAACUUUAACUUAGAAGCAAAAAGGGCCAAAACUCACCUCAAGGAAAGAAAUCUCUUCCAAAGCUCCAAAAGAGAGCUAGAGCCCUUCCAAUUCAAGCCCGAGGAAGGUUCUAAACCAAUCAAUCUAGCCUCAAAAGCCCUAGAUCAAAAAGCCCCAAAAUCAACCCUAAAUCUCAUUUCUAGGGUUUCAUCUUCCAAAAAUCACCAAAACGAGAAUCUAUAGGAAGAAACAUGUUACUAACCCUUUAGAAGCUUCAAUCCAAGCUCAAAAUGCCCAAGGGUUGAAGUUUGGUCCACCACUAAGCUCCAAGGGCAAGCUCCAAGUCCUCUACAAGCUCUUCUUCUCCUUCCUUCUCCUUCCUCUCCCACUCUUUCUCUCUCUAGAAGUAAAAGAAAUGGUGAAAUGAGGAAGGGGAGAAGGAGAAGUGGCCAUAUAAGCCUUCUCUUGUAACAAAAUCCUGUGAGGCACCUCAAAAAUUCAAUAUUACAUCAGCCCGGUCUGGGCAGUUUUCACCCAGAGGGACCGGUCUCUCCCCAGCAGGGACCGGUCUCUCGCUGCGAACUCGAAAAACCAACGUUCGGGAACCGGCCUCUCCCUGCGCGGGACCGGUCUCUCACUGCGUAGAUGCGCUCGGGGACCGGUCUCGCCCGCCGGGGACCAGUCUCGCCCGCCAGGGACCAGUUGCCUCACGGCUGCCGCAACACUGCUCACUGGGGGACCGGUCUCUCCUUCCAGGGACCGGUCCCCGAGAGUAAAAACUCUCAGGACUUGCCCAGAAUUCCAGUUUUCGAACUUUUUAGGUCGGAAAACAUUCAACAACCCUCCACCAAGUAUGGAAAAGCUCGAAAUAUAUUCAAACACUCGAACCUCGCAAUUUGCAAAGGUCCAGUGUGCUAUAUACUUGGUCAACCAAUUCAUGCCCAACACAACAUCAAACUUCCCGAGUUUAUGCAAAGCUAACAAGUCCACGGGCAUGAUCCAAUCUCCAACCCGAAUAGGGCAACUGGGGCAAAACUCCCGAAUGUCCAAAGAAUGAUCGGGUACAACAACUCGGCCCGGAUGUAACAAGGAUACAAGUGGGAUGCCAUGCAGCUCGGCAAACAGCCGAUCAAUGAAUGAAUGCGAUGCACCGGUAUCAAACAAUGUUCUAACUCGAAUAGUGAGGACCGCACAAGAAGCACACAAGAAGCACCUGCCCCGACUGCGUGAAAACUGCCGCGGGUAGUGAGGACCGCCACAGAUCACGCAGCGAGGGGCCUGGCGUCGAUCGGGUCCUCCUCGCUGGGUAGACUAGCCGCGUCCUCGCGACUGGCUCCUGCUCCUGGGAUGUCUCGGCGGCCUCCGUGAGUGCGUCUGACUCGCACCCUCAGCCGCUGGCCUCUUGCCCUUGCCCUUAUCUAGGGCCUCGCGUCGCUCCUUAAGAUCUGCCGCUCCUGCCUCCACUAUGAAUGCUCGAUCCACAACCUCCCGAUAGGUCUGGAGGUUGGAAGACUGCACCAACCGGAAGAUAGAAGGCCGCAAACCGCGCUCAAAGAUGCGUGUCUUGUCCUCGUCGUCCCGCACCACAAAAGGCACACAAUGAAGUAUCCGGGAGAACUCCCUCUCGUACUCAGUCACUGACCGCUCAUCCUGGCGCAAAUUGCGCAAAUCCUGCUCCAUCUUCCUCUUGAUGCUAGUAGGAAAGUGGUGCACCAGAAGAAGCUCCUUGAACCUCGUCCAAGUAAUCGCUGCCAAGUCGGUGUUGGGGUUGUCCUGGAUAUCCAACCACCAACGGUAGGCCUCGCCGUCCAGAAAGUGAGUGGCGAGCCAAACUCUGUCUCGCUCCUCUACAAAGGUGUCUCGAAACAGCUUCUCCAUAUGCAUCAACCACUUCUCAACAAUCCAGUGGUCGACGUUCUCGCCAUCAAACGUCCUCGGGCUGCACCUCCUGAACUCACUGAGGCGCUCCAUAAGCCGAUCCCGCUCGGCACCCUCGGCCAUCACGGGGAAUGCUGCCCCUGCCACCGGUCUCUGAACAGGUAGUGCCGUAACCACCUCCUCCCGAGGUGCGGUCGCCGGUGCCGCACGUGAAGAGCUGGGCGCGGGGGACUGCGUCCUCGGUGCGAUGUCCACCACGGGUGCUGGCGGUGUGGGACCCUGGGUCUCCCUCAAAGCUGCCGCCUGCUGAAGUAGGAGGUCCUCAAGAUGCUUCAUCCGCGCCUCCUACCGCUGAGCCACCUCAGCCUGUUGCUGCGCCGCUGCCGUCUGCUGCGCCAACAGAUCAGUGAGAACCGCAAACUGGGCCCUCAAGUUACGGACCUCACUAGAUCCGGAAGUAGCGGAGGUCUCGACCUCCUCGGGGUGUGCCGCAUCAUCCGCCCCGGCAGACUGGGAGCGUGUAAUCGGUAUCGUCACUACAAAAUAUAAAAGCGCAAGUUAGUAACCCACGCUAUCGCAUUCCCGCUCAAAAUAGAUAAAACCCGAAUCAUGCGAAAGUAAGGAAGUGUCCUUCACUACUAACUCCCGAUGUUACGUUGUCGGCCGCCAACGUAACCCUCCGCGAAGUUAGAAGCCAUACACUCCGAUCAAACUCUAACUUUUUAGAGUUAUCAUAAACCCAAUCGAAAUACUUUCGCUCACAAUUCAAUUAGACCUCGUCUCUCACGAGCCUAUUUCCUAUAGUCCAACCGGCCUAAGGUUUACUAGGUCCUCUAAGACUCAACCCUAGGCUCUGAUACCAAAUUAAUCUGUCACGCCCCGGAACCGGCGGAGGCCCUCCCGGUAGCGUGCCCAGACCCGCUAUAUGUCUACACAUAUAAGGCGUCUACAAUAAAAGCGGAAGUAAAGCAAGAGAUAGAACAAAUAGAAUAAGUAGAAUAACUAGCAACUAAUGAUAUCAGAGCAAGUAAAGUUCUAUCAUCUAAACCAGAGCAAAAGAAACAUAACUAGACAAUGAUAGAGAAGCAUAAAGUAAUACAAUACUAUCUCCUCAAAAGGGAAACAAAGAUCCAAAAGAAGGGUGGUCUCUACACAUAUACGGGUACAACUCUCAACCUCUCACAAAAAAAAAAAACAACUAGAGGUAGACCACCUAUCGACUCGUCCACGAAGGAAGCUAGCUCGAUGCAACUCCCUUCCCGCGGUCCCUAGCCUCUCCCGGCGUGGAAGGCUCUUAAAGGAAACAUGAAACAGAGGGCGUGAGAACUAUAAUUUAUAGUUCCCAGUGGGCAAUUACUGACCUCAGCUCAAUGCACCACUAAGCCCCCCAAAAAAAAAAGGGGUAAGUAACGACAAUAGUAAGCAAUGAGUAAACUUUAUUUACGAAAGCAUAAUUAAAAGCUAUACUAAUGCAUUGCAAUUACAUAUGGCAUUUAUAUAAUGCACCUUUAUAUUGUCAUGAAUAUUAUGCCUCAAUAUGACCACAAGUAAUAAUCAUUAUUUGCUUUAUGAAGUUAUGAAGAUCAUGCUUGAUCAUGGCAACAAUGUAUAUAUGAAUGCGAUAAGCACAUCUCCUGGCAUGCUACAUGUAUGUAUGUAUAUCCAAGUACCCAAAACUAUGCUAGAAGCAAGUCCAAGUAAUCCAACUACUAUUCUCUAUCUAGUAGUGAUCAUAAUAAACUCAACACCGUGUCGAUUUUCCAUUUCCAAUUAAGGACCUACCAAAGGUAGUCCAGCUUGUGCCGCCUAAGUGCCUGUGGUAGCCCAACAUUCCUACUUUUGGAAUGUGUCUGUCCCACUCGACCCCGUAGGCUUCUCAAUACCGCACGAGCGAACAUAGGUCGCGUAGGCUAUCUCCGAAGUGUCGGCUUGUAGGGAGCGACCCUCACAAGUAUGUGCGAAUGAGCACAAAUGGCAAGCAAGCAUAGUCCAAGUCUCAAGUAUCCAAUCCUUAUGUCUCUAACAUGGUAUCGUCACUAG